ensembl:snoRNA SNORA70 Small nucleolar RNA SNORA70
UUUCAGCCAGUUAAGCUGACAGUGCUCUUUUCCCAAGGGGGGCCUAGCGGGCAAUGACUGCGAACAACAGCCUCCUCGGUAUGCAGGCAAUUAUAAGUUGCCCUAAAGGACCUUGGAAACAGCC